rnacentral:snRNA from 1 species
AGCUUUGUGCAGUGGCAUUAUUGUAGCCAAUGAGGUUUAUCCAAGACACAACUAUUGCUAAUAAACUUUUCCUACAUUUC